CUGAUUUUAUCUAUAUUGACUAAAUUCAAAAUUUGCUAUAUUUUAGAAACUAAAAACUUAUUUAAUUUAAUCCCAAAUUUUAAGAACUAAUGUGCUAUCAUCAAAACAUUAUGUAUGCUUCAAAACAAAAAAAAUCAAAACAUUAUGUACAUGUAGAUCUAGCUUGUACCACUAUCUAGAGAGUGUUGGGAACGUAUUUCAAGGUCAUCUAAUUAACCAGAUGAUAACCCGAAAUCGCCCUCAAUC
rnacentral:lncRNA from 1 species